ACUAUAUAUAUGCGUUUCUUAGGAGAAUAUGCAGGGAAAAUAGUGUGAUCUUCAACGUACCUCAUGAGAGCCUCUUGAACGUUGGACAAAUUUUCUAUGUAUAAAAAUAUUCGCAAAUGAUUAAUCGAAGAUAUUAUUGACUUGUAUGGUCAUCAGUUGGCUUUUUUUCGCAAAUGAUUAAUCGAAGAUAUUAUUUUGUAUGAUCAUCAGUUGGCUAGCGACGGAUCAAAUGGUUUGGUUAAUAUUUACAAAUUUGUUUGUAGUUUUAU
rnacentral:lncRNA from 1 species